GGGAUCGAACCCACAACUUCAUUGUUCCUAGUCGGAUUUGUUAACCACUGAGCCAUGACAGGAACUCAAGGACUUAUUCUUUUUUAGCCUUCAUUUUACUUUCCACCUAAGAGAUGCCCCAUGUAACCGGUGUGCCAAAAAACUCAGAGCAGCUGCUUGCCUCUCUGCCCGCCUCUCCCCAACAGGUGUAUUUCUCACUUAAAUAAAUCUUCAAUUUUCUUUCUCAAUUUCCAUCCUGUUUCUGAAUUCUUGCUGUGACAAGAUGAGAACCUAACCUUCAGAAACACCUUUGUUCAACCUCCGAGCGUUGCUUGGUUACAUUGAGAUAUUUUAAUUCUUUGCAAAGAUUUGAGGCCCAGAGUCAGAGGCGUGGAUCUAGGAGUCUCUGUGAAGCAGCUGAGAGGGUGCAGUGCCAAGGCCAGGAGCUGCUCUCCUGCUGGGCUGACCCGGUCCCGCUGCCCUGCUGGAGUGGCCAGAUGUUCCCGUUUCCUGUCCUGUGGAGCUGGGUGAUCAUGGCUGUUGGGAGCACAGAUGCCGCCGCAAGCCUGGUGGAGCAACGCCCCCGAUGGGUCCUGGUACGUCGUGGACAGGCUGAAACCCUGCACUGCACCCUGAGGAAUUCCCAGUACCCCUGGAUGAGCUGGUACCAGCAGGAUUCUCAGGGCCAACUGCAGGUGCUGGCCAGUCUGGGGAAUGUGGGCGAUAAGGAGGCCACAUCCCUUCCUGGAGCAGAUUAUCAGGCCACGCGGGUCAGUGACACAGAGCUGAGGCUGCUUGUGGCCAACGUCACCCAGAGAAGAACCUUGUUCUGCACCUGCAGUGAAGACACAGUGAGAUGCCCUCCUUGGAUCAGUGACUAAAAACCACCCCUGGUUCCCAACCACAGAGCCCAGCCUCCCCCUCCUCUGCCCUGAA